ACGAACGCUGGCGGCGUGCUUCACCCAUGCCAGUCGUACGGUAAGGCCCUUUCGGGGGUACACGAGUGGCGAACGGGUGAGUAACACGUGAGUAACCUGCCCACAACUUUGGGAUAACGCUAGGAAACUGGUGCUAAUACUGGAUAUGUGCUCCUGCUGCAUGGUGGGGGUUGGAAAGCUCCGGCGGUUGUGGAUGGACUCGCGGCCUAUCAGCUUGUUGGUGGGGUAGUGGCCUACCAAGGCGGCGACGGGUAGCCGGCCUGAGAGGGUGACCGGCCACAUUGGGACUGAGAUACGGCCCAGACUCCUACGGGAGGCGGCAGUGGGGAAUAUUGCACAAUGGGCGCAAGCCUGAUGCAGCAACGCCGCGUGCGGGAUGACGGCCUUCGGGUUGUAAACCGCUUUCAGCAGGGACGAAGCUUUUUGUGACGGUACCUGCAGAAGAAGCACCGGCUAACUACGUG
rnacentral:rRNA from 1 species